UGACUUUCUCCUCCUCUUGUCCUCCACCAUAGCAGUCCCGCCACACCAACUCCUCCACAGCAUCUUGUUUUCUCGAACGCUCCUCCACAGCAUCUUGUUUUCUCCUCCAUAGUAGUUAUCAUUCGAGGUCUACUAUUUGAAGAGUUGAAAGAAAUGGAUGAAGAAUGCCAUAAUAUAGUUCCGAAGCACCUUCAUAAUGCAAAGAUAUUUUUCUAGUAUGUCUUUUUGCAGGUUUGUGAAUCUGUUAAUGCAAUGGCAUAGAUUUGAGAUAUUGUAGUUUGAUUUGUAAUUUGUUAGUUGUAGCCAAGAACAAUGCAAGUUGAAGGAUGAUGGUCCGUUAAAGCCAAUGGUAACUAUUUAAUUUUUGCUAUAUGAGUGUUUACACUUAUGUGGAUUUUGAACUUCUCAAGCUAGAAUUUGUACUCUUUCAAUAAUUGUAGUCAAUGGAGGAAAUUUCUGAAAAGUGGAAAGCUUUAGGAGACCAUGCUAAGCGAAAGUACAAGAAAAAAAAUCUAUCAGGAGUUUCGAGAAAUACAAAGAGCACAAAAUUAAGCUUGAUCUUCCAAAGGCUCCGAAGAACACCUUUAUGUCAAGGACUCAACUUAAGGCGGCUUAUGGUAGAAUACAAGAACUUGAUCCGCUUCAAGUAGAGAGUGUAAAAGCUAUGGGGUUUGGAGAUAUGUUACAACUGAAAUGUACGACAUUAGAUCGAUCUCUUUGUGAGUGGUUGGUACGACAUUUCAAUCCCGUGUCUCUUUGUUUGCAUGUGCAUGGUAAGGACUGCAUAAUUACACCACUAGAUAUGAACCACAUUUUAGGAUUGUCAUGUGGUGGCCAGAGGGUGAUCCUUGAAGGGGAAUAUACCGAAAUUCAUGAAUUGUGUUUGAGGCAUAAAGUAGGUGACCAAGGUUCUAUAUCUUUCGAUCAUUUACAUAAUUAUUUGAUGAACAACAAAAAGGCCGACAAUGACUUCAAAGUUUCAUUUGUGUUGUACAUAAUGGGGACUAUUCUAUGUCCAACAUCAGAAUUUGGAGUUAAUAAGCAUUUUCUCCAUGCAUUAAAGGACUUGUCCUCUGUAAGGGAGUUGGACUGGAGCCAAUUUGUUCUCAAGUUUUUAGUUGAAUGCAUUCAAAAGUAUCAGAAAGGAUGCAGAGUGAUUCGGGGAUGUCUAUUGUUCCUAAUGGUACAUCUCUUAACUUUAUUUAUUACGUCAAAGUUUUUUUGAAUGUUGAAUUGAUUAUGUAUAUCAAUCUUUGAUUUUCCUACAAUUGUUUUACUUAGAGCAUUGCACGCCAGCCGAAUAUUUCACUUCCUGGUGUGGUAUGCGACCUUCACCCCGCCUCUUAGCUUGGGGAGAUAAAGACAUAAGAGAGAGAGCUUGUUAGUUCAAUAAGACAAGAAAACGGAAAGGUGAAAAGGUCAAAGUCAUUAUUGAAGAUGGAGUUGGCAAGAGAGAGAGAAUGAUGAAUCAAAGAAGGGAGGUUGACCAUGAUAAAUCAAUGGGGAAUGACCAGGUUAAAAAUCUAACUAGUAUGGUAGAGAGAAUGUCGAGCCUAUUAGAAGAGACAUUGGCCGCUAUACAUGAGAAAGAUCGUAAGCGUAAAUAUUAUGCGAAUAAUGGAGGCAUUAACAAGAAAAACACUCCAUCUGCCUUGAAGGAACCCAAUGUCGAAGGACAUUUCAAAACUAAGAAGGAAAAAUGCACCAAAAAUGCAUUAUCAGA